UACAGAGGUCUCAAGCGUUGUUCGGAUUCAUUGGGCGUAAAGGGUGCGUAGGCGGCGCGGUAAGUCGGAUGUGAAAACCUGCGGCUCAACUGCAGACUGGCGGUCGAUACGGGCAGGCUGGAGUUCGGUAGGGGAGACUGGAAUUCCUGGUGUAGCGGUGAAAUGCGCAGAUAUCAGGAGGAACACCGGUGGCGAAGGCGGGUCUCUGGGCCGAUACUGACGCUGAGGAGCGAAAAGCGUGGGGGAGCGAACAGG
rnacentral:rRNA from 1 species